GAUGAAGAAAGCAGUGAAAUGCGAUAAGUAAUGUGAAUUGCAGAAUUCAGUGAAUCAUCGAAUCUUUGAACGCACAUUGCGCCCGCCAGCAUUCUGGCGGGCAUGCCUGUUCGAGCGUCAUUUCAACCCUCGAGCCCCCCCGGGGGCCUCGGUGUUGGGGGACGGCACACCAGCCGCCCCCGAAAUGCAGUGGCGACCCCGCCGCAGCCUCCCCUGCGUAGUAGCACACACCUCGCACCGGAGCGCGGAGGCGGUCACGCCGUAAAACGCCCAACUUUCUUAGAGUUGACCUCGGAUCAGGUAGGAAUACCCGCUGAACUUAAGCAUAUCAAUAAGCGGAGGA
rnacentral:misc_RNA from 1 species